CCCUUAGAUGUUCUGGGCUGCACGCGCGCUACACUGAUGCGUUCAACGAGUUUAUGACCUUGCCCGAUAGGGUUGGGUAAUCUUUUUAAAUCGCAUCGUGAUGGGGAUAGAUUAUUGCAAUUAUUAAUCUUCAACGAGGAAUUCCUAGUAAGCGCGAGUCAUCAGCUCGUGCUGAUUACGUCCCUGCCCUUUGUACACACCGCCCGUCGCACCUACCGAUUGAAUGGUCCGGUGAAAUCUCGGGACGGCGGCUUGGUCGCUUGCGUCCGACUGCUGAAACUUGAUUAAACCAUAUCAUUUAGAGGAAGGUGAANUCGUAACA
rnacentral:rRNA from 1 species